rnacentral:tRNA from 1 species
GUUUUAAUAAUUUAAUAAAAUAUUGGUCUUGUAAAUCAAAAAUGAGAUUUAAUCUCUUAAAACU